UUCUAUUGCAGAUAUUAUGUCACACCAUUUGGUGAAGCUUCGGUAGAACGGUAGCACUACCGUUUCAAUUUUUUUUUGAAAUUCAAAAUCACUAAAGUAUAUCUCUUUUGGAUUUCAAAUUUUCAUUUAAUUACAAUGAAUUCUCGCCUCAAAUCUAGUGCCAAGAAGUCUAAAUUGGAAUCUUUUCUCUCUUUGCUCACAUGGAGUUUCUCCAUUUUUUCUUUUUCUUGCUGCACAACAUCCCAACCAUUUUGGGUAUUAAUUUGAAACAAAUCUGCUCAAAGUCUCAAGCAAAUCUGAAACAAAUUUACUCAAAUAUCGCUCAUUAAAUUAUGAACGUAUUUUACUGUUCGAAACCUCACGCUCUUAAUUUCAAACGUUAGAGGUAAAAAUCCCGCCCAUGAACCCUACUUCUUCACCUAUAAAUACUUGCAUUUGAAAUAUACUGGAAAAAGAGCUUUUGGAGCUGUUGCACCUCUCUUUAAACCCACAAGCUUCGGCCCCCUUCUUUAACCUUAAGCCCUAGAGCCGCCCACUUUCACCCUAAAGUCGAGAGUUUUCAGCCACCUCUGUUAGUGCAUUUCCUUUCCUCUAAUUAAAAAACAAAGUUCUCUAGCUCUCUUUGUAUUUUUAGCCAUUACAAUGGUUUAUUUGCUUAUUCCGGUGACUAACAAUCGUCUAAGGUAGCGAGUUCGAGGUCGGAGUUCGAUAUUGCAUCUAAGACCCGUCUCAGUUUGCUGUCUUGUAAAAGUACACUUUGAAGCAUAAUGGAGUCUUAAUGCUAGACUCCAAUACCCGCAUAUGGAGUCUUCGAGACUCGUAAAGAUGGAGUCUCAUCACCACCAGAUAGAGUCAAUACACGACAUAUAUCCUUAGAAUGUACUGGAUAGCAGAAAAACAAGCGAAACGCUUGGGGGCGCCUAUGACGUCCUUCUUUUUGUUCCUACCACUUAUUUUAUCUUAAUAUUUGUAAUUUUCGAUUUGCUUUUUUUGUGUUUUCUUAAUUUUUAAAAUUUUAUGUUGGAGCCUAUUAUUAUUAUAUAAGAAAUAGCUGAGUUUUAUUUAA